CUGAACCAGCCAAGUAGCGUGAAGGAUGACUGCCCUAUGGUUGUAAACUUCUUUUAUAAAGGAAUAAAGUCGGGUAUGCAUACCCGUUUGCAUGUACUUUAUGAAUAGGGAUCGGCUAACUCCGUGCCAGCAGCCGCGGUAAUACGGAGGAUCCGAGCGUUAUCCGGAUUUAUUGGGUUUAAAGGGAGCGUAGGCGGAUUAUUAAGUCAGUUGUGAAAGUUUGCGG
rnacentral:rRNA from 1 species